rnacentral:rRNA from 1 species
CUACGGGUCGCACCAGUGAGGAAUAUUGCACAAUGGAGGAAACUCUGAUGCAGCAACGCCGCGUGGAGGAUGACGCAUUUCGGUGUGUAAACUCCUUUUAUAUGUCAAGAAAAUGACGGUAGCAUAUGAAUAAGCUCCGGCUAACUCCGUGCCAGCAGCCGCGGUAAUACGGAGGGAGCAAGCGUUACUCGGAAUCACUGGGCGUAAAGGACGCGUAGGCGGGAUAGUAAGUCAGGUGUGAAAUCCUAUGGCUCAACCAUAGAACUGCACUUGAAACUUCUAACCUAGAGUAUGGGAGGGGAAGAUGGAAUUAGUGGUGUAGGGGUAAAAUCCGUAGAUAUCACUAGGAAUACCAAAAGCGAAGGCGAUCUUCUGGAACAAUACUGACGCUAAGACGUGAAAGCGUGGGGAGCAAACAGGAUUAGAUACCCCAGUAGUC